rnacentral:rRNA from 1 species
GACGAACGCUGGCGGCGCGCUUAACACAUGCAAGUCGAACGGAAAGGCCCUGUUUUCGUGGGGUGCUCGAGUGGCGAACGGGUGAGAAAGACGUGUGUAACGUGCCCUUGACUUUGGGAAAAUGUGAGGAAACUGGGGCUAAUACGGGUAAUGAGCGCCAGCUCUGUGGUGGGGGGCGGAAAGUUUCGGCGGUUGGGGUUGGAGUCGCGGCUUAUCGGCUUGUCGGUGGGGUUGUGGGUUGCGAAGGCUUUGACGGGUAGCCGGCCUGGGAGGGUGACCGGCGACAUUGGGACUAAGAUACGGCCCAGACGCCUACGGGAGGCAGCAGUGGGGAGUGGUGCACAAUGGGCGGAAGCCUGAUGCAGCAACGCCGCGUGCGGGAUGACGGCCUUCGGGUUGUAAACCGCUUUCGCCUGUGACGAAGCGUGAGUGACGGUAAUGGGUAAAGAAGCACCGGCUAACUACGUG